GGUUAAUAUAUUAAUAGCGGUUUCCUACACCAUAACCAACCCACCCAUCCACUUUUUUGACCCUAUUUUUCUAGAUCUACAGGAAGUGGCGAUCCGGCGGAGGAACCGGUAGCAUCGACCGCCGACGGCGCGAGUUCUUGAUGACGACCACCACCACCCUGGGCAAGGGAGUAUCCUAGGCGGCGGCAACGACGACUCGAUCGGAAGGCUUCUCCACUGCUUCAGCCAGCCCUCUAACUCCGGCGUCGGCUUCGUUGACGCAGAUCGGGAGGUGGCCAUUGAUGGGGAUCGACAGCGGCGAUGGCGCAAUACUCAGGAAAUUAGGAAUGCGUCGAUGGUGGUUGUUUGAUUUCUCAAGAAUGGGGCCAUCGACCAUGGCAUCCAAAGCAGAGUCUUGCAAGUGUGGAGGACAGUGCCUAGACACCGCCCCAUGAAGUGGCCCGCCCUGCAGGUCACGUGGGCACUCCGGCAAGGGCGACGAGCAGCGACGUACCCAAAAAUUCAUUAGGAAGUUGAUGCGCACAUCGCCGGCGGCCACGUCCAUGGUCUGCACUAGGAUGUGAGGAUGGAGGGCACGCGUUUGCUUGAGAUUAUCGUCUCUGCCUGUCGAUCUAGGUUCCAUCAAUGUGCUUCUUUGGAUUCCUUUCUGCCAUGUAGUGGUCAGGGACAGGUUAUUUUUCCUGCUUGGUCAUAGAGGGUCUCGUCUUAUUGAUAAUUGAUGCAUUCUUGUGUUCUUGCUUCUGCCUGUUCAUGGAGGUUCUUUUGUUUUAUUGAUGCAGGGCCACGGCGGUUCUUGGUGCAUGCUGUGUUGUUGGGUUGUGGGUGUGGUUAAAUAUUCAGUGUUUUUUUCCCUCCAAUUGAUCAUAAACGAUCAGAAGUUUCCAUAUUGAUGGUGCAGAGACCUGUCAGGGAGCAUGCAUCUCAGCCUGCUGUAUUGUUAAUUACUUAAUUUCAGAUUGUGCUUUCUUUCCUAGUGUAUUGUUGUUGCUAGCCUCUUUAACAAUAGCACUAUUAUGGCCACAAAACACUAGUUCGAGCGCCCAUCCCUGACAAUCAGGUGUUUUCAACGUUGAUGUAGGUAGUAAUCUGUGCAACACUGCAACAUCCUUGCUUUGAUAGAUAGGUUAGCUGGUGGUCUCAUCCCUGAGAAUCAGGUGAUCGAUUCUUCUUAAGGACAUUAUUUCCAUCUUUUUUUUAGACAUACAUGGAUUGUUUAUUUUAUUUUCACACUACUAAUAUAGUUUUUUUUGCCAUUAUACUAUAGAUUUUACUGUUUUUGCUAAAUAAAAGCUUACAUUUUAAAGUACCUGUCCUAUAGAAAGAGAAACAUUGUUUUUUUACUAGUUGCUACAUGUAAAAUUGAUUUUGUGAUUGUAUAUCCUGAUAUUUUCUUGAUUUCCAGAUGUUAUCUUGAUUUUAGUUAGCUGUAGGUGAUCACAAUUGACAAUAUUGUUGCUAAUGAGGCGGCUGGAUCCACGGUGGAGCAAGUUGUUGCGACGGACUCCAACGCGGAUGCAGUUGGCAGCGGGAUUUGGCGUCGGCCGUGAGUCUCCAGCACCGACGCUGGUGGUGGUGUUUGGCGAGUUAGGAUGUAGUCAUUGGUUGUAACUUUCCUUUUUUCUAGAUCAAGAUGAAUAAUAUGUAUGCCUGUCUUCCAUGUGUAAAUUUCAUUGAUCAUGUGAUAGAACCAACAUACAAUUUUUAAGGAGGAAAGCUCACUCACACUGUAAUAUUGUAUUCAUGCCAUGGAGGCUAAUUGUAAAAAUUACUCUGAUCAUAUUAAAAAUGCGAAAGCACCUGGCAGUAAAAA